CUACGGGAGGCAGCAGUAGGGAAUCUUCCGCAAUGGACGAAAGUCUGACGGAGCAACGCCGCGUGAACGAAGAAGGCCUUCGGGUCGUAAAGUUCUGUUGUUAGGGAAGAACAAGUACCAGAGUAACUGCUGGUACCUUGACGGUACCUAACCAGAAAGCCACGGCUAACUACGUGCCAGCAGCCGCGGUAAUACGUAGGUGGCAAGCGUUGUCCGGAAUUAUUGGGCGUAAAGCGCGCGCAGGUGGUUCCUUAAGUCUGAUGUGAAAGCCCACGGCUCAACCGUGGAGGGUCAUUGGAAACUGGGGAACUUGAGUGCAGAAGAGGAAAGUGGAAUUCCAAGUGUAGCGGUGAAAUGCGUAGAGAUUUGGAGGAACACCAGUGGCGAAGGCGACUUUCUGGUCUGUAACUGACACUGAGGCGCGAAAGCGUGGGGAGCAAACAGGAUUAGAUACCCUGGUAGUCCACGCCGUAAACGAUGAGUGCUAAGUGUUAGAGGGUUUCCGCCCUUUAGUGCUGCAGCUAACGCAUUAAGCACUCCGCC
rnacentral:rRNA from 2 species